GAGGGUAUAGCUCAGUGGUAGAGUGCAUGCCUAGCAUGCACAAGGUGCUGGGUUCAAUCCCCAGAUCCUUCA
rnacentral:tRNA from 1 species